rnacentral:rRNA from 1 species
UCUACGGGGGGCUGCAGUGAGGAAUAUUGGUCAAUGGGCGGAAGCCUGAACCAGCCAAGUAGCGUGCAGGAUGACGGCCCUACGGGUUGUAAACUGCUUUUAUACGGGAAUAACGCGCCUUACGUGUAGGGCUUUGCAUGUACCGUAUGAAUAAGGACCGGCUAAUUCCGUGCCAGCAGCCGCGGUAAUACGGAAGGUCCGGGCGUUAUCCGGAUUUAUUGGGUUUAAAGGGUGCGUAGGCGGAUUUUUAAGUCAGCGGUAAAAUGUCCGGGCUCAACCCGGGCCGGCCGUUGAAACUGGGGAUCUUGAGUGGGCGAGAAGUAUGCGGAAUGCGUGGUGUAGCGGUGAAAUGCAUAGAUAUCACGCAGAACUCCGAUUGCGAAGGCAGCAUACCGGCGCCCGACUGACGCUGAGGCACGAAAGCGUGGGGAUCGAACAGGAUUAGAUACCCCGGUAGUC